rnacentral:tRNA from 1 species
GGGUCGUUAGCUCAGCGGGCAGAGCACCGGACUCUUAAUCCGGGUGUCCAGGGUUCGAUCCCCUGACGACCCAUCA